UACGUAGGUGGCAAGCGUUGUCCGGAUUUAUUGGGUUUAAAGGGUGCGUAGGCGGCUUUGUAAGUCAGUGGUGAAAUACGGUAGCUUAACUAUCGAGGUGCCAUUGAUACUGCAGAGCUUGAGUACAGAUGAGGUAGGCGGAAUUGACGGUGUAGCGGUGAAAUGCUUAGAUAUCGUCAAGAACACCUAUAGCGAAGGCAGCUUACUAGGCUGUAACUGACGCUGAGGUGCGAAAGCGUGGGGAGCAAACAGG
rnacentral:rRNA from 1 species